AACUUUCAGCAAUGGAUCUCUUGGCUCUCGCAUCGAUGAAGAACGCAGCGAAUUGCGAUAUGUAAUGUGAAUUGCAGAUUUACAGUGAAUCAUCGAAUCUUUGAACGCACAUUGCGCUCCU
rnacentral:rRNA from 1 species